UAGAUAAUCCAUAUACUUGCCUAUGAAUCC
rnacentral:piRNA from 1 species